UACGGGGGGAGCAAGCGUUGUUCGGAUUUACUGGGCGUAAAGGGCGCGUAGGCGGCGCAACAAGUCACUUGUGAAAUCUCCGGGCUUAACCCGGAGCGGCCAAGUGAUACUGUCGUGCUAGAGUGCGGAAGGGGCUACUGGAAUUCUCGGUGUAGCGGUGAAAUGCGUAGAUAUCGAGAGGAACACCAACGGCGAAAGCACUCUGCUGGGCCGACACUGACACUGAGAGACGAAAGCUAGGGGAGCGAAUGGG
rnacentral:rRNA from 1 species